rnacentral:lncRNA from 1 species
UAAUACAAACUUUGCAAUUUCUUACUUAUUAUAAAAACUUCACACAUUGUUAUACUCUUACUGAAACCAUGCUUUAUGAAUCAACAAUCAAAUUGAAUCUCUGUCUCUCACAUGAAACAUUGCAACAUACAUUUUCUCCAUUGAACAAUAACUCAAUGAAACAACACAGUGAGCACACCCAAAAAAAAAACAAUCAAAACAAAACUAAAAUGUUCAAAAUAAAAAUCAAAGACAACUAUUGAAACAACAUAAAUGAAGAAUAAAUAAGAGAAAAAACCAAUGCUAUUGAUUACACAAAUGCAGAUAAAAAGAAAUCAGCAAGCAUGAAUACAAAUACAGAGAUAAACAAAAGCGAAGAGAGAAGAGAUGACUCACGAAGAGAGAAAACGAGGUGCGAUCGUUGUGCGAAGAGAGAAGACGAAGUGCGGUCGUUGUGCGAAGAGAGAAGACGAAGUGUGAUCGUUGUGCGAAGAGAGAAGACGAAGUGCGAUCGUUGUGCGAAGAGAGAAGAGAUGACUUUCUAUUUGCGGCGGCGGCGAACGGCGGCGGC